UGGGGAAUUUUGGACAAUGGGGGAAACCCUGAUCUAGCCAUCCCGCGUGUGCGAUGAAGGCCUUCGGGUUGUAAAGCACUUUUGGCAGGAAAGAAACGUCAUGGGUUAAUACCCCGUGAAACUGACGGUACCUGCAGAAUAAGCACCGGCUAACUACGUGCCAGCAGCCGCGGUAAUACGUAGGGUGCAAGCGUUAAUCGGAAUUACUGGGCGUAAAGCGUGCGCAGGCGGUUCGGAAAGAAAGAUGUGAAAUCCCAGAGCUCAACUUUGGAACUGCAUUUUUAACUACCGGGCUAGGGUGUGUCAGAGGGAGGUGGAAUUCCGCGUGUAGCAGUGAAAUGCGUAGAUAUGCGGAGGAACACCGAUGGCGAAGGCAGCCUCCUGGGAUAACACUGACGCUCAUGCACGAAAGCGUGGGGAGCAAACAGG
rnacentral:rRNA from 1 species